GCCGCUGAUUGUCCAAACGCAAUUCUUGUGCGAGUUUGCGGCCAACCGAGAAUUGUGACUGGACAUCUGUGGC
rnacentral:pre_miRNA from 13 species